GCGGGAAURGCUCAGUUGGUAGAGCACGACCUUGCCAAGGUCGGGGUCGCGAGUUCGAGCCUCGUUUCCCGCU
rnacentral:tRNA from 1 species